rnacentral:rRNA from 1 species
GGGCUUGACAUCCCACGAACCUGUGGAAACACGGGAGUGCCUUCGGGAGCGGAGAGACAGGUGGUGCAUGGUUGUCGUCAGCUCGUGUCGUGAGAUGUUGGGUUAAGUCCCGCAACGAGCGCAACCCUUAUGAUCAGUUACCAGCGGGUGAAGCCGGGGACUCUGGUCAGACUGCCGGUGACAAACCGGAGGAAGGUGGGGACGAUGUCAAAUCAUCAUGCUCCUUAUGUCCUGGGCUACACACGUGCUACAAUGGUCGUUACAGCGGGAAGCGAAGCCGCAAGGCGGAGCGAAGCCGAAGAAAGCGAUCCCAGUUCGGAUUGAGGGCUGCAACUCG